rnacentral:rRNA from 1 species
GAUGAACGCUGGCGGCGUGCCUAAUACAUGCAAGUCGAGCGAACAGACGAUGAGCUUGCUCCUCUGACGUUAGCCGCGCACGUGUGUGUAACACGUGUAUACUCCACCUAUAAUAGUGGGAUCAUCUCGGGAAACCGGCUCUAAUCCCGGAUAAUAUCUUGCACCGCAUGGUUCAAUAGUGAAAGACGGCGUUUCUGUCUCUUAUCGCUGCAUCCGCGCGGCAUUAGCUGGUUGUUAAGUUCACGGCUUACCACGGCAACGAUGCGUAGCCGACGUGAUAGGGUGGUCGCCCGCACUAGAGCUGGGACACGGACCAGGCUCCUACGGGAGGCAGCAGAAGGGAAUCUGACGCAGUGGGCGAAAGCAUGACGGAGCAAGGCCGCGUGAGUGGUGAAGGUCUUCGGAGCGUAAAACUCGGUUAUUGGGUGAAAACAGAUGUGUAAGUAGCUGUGCACGUCUUGACGGUACCUAGUCAGAAAGCAACGGCUAACUACGUG